rnacentral:rRNA from 1 species
AUGGCCAAGGAACUCGGCAAAAUAACCCCGUAACUUCGGAAGAAGGGGUGCUCUCUAGGGUGACAUGUUUAACAUAUGAAGCCCCGGGGAGCCGCAGUGAAUUGGUGGUGGCGACUGUUUACUAAAAACAUAGGUCUGUGCGAAGUCCUAAAGACGACGUAUACGGACUGACGCCUGCCCGGUGCUGGAAGGUUAAAAGGAGGGGUCAGCGCAAGCAAAGCUCCGAAUUGAAGCCCCAGUAAACGGCGGCCGUAACUAUAACGGUCCUAAGGUAGCGAAAUUCCUUGUCGGGUAAGUUCCGACCUGCACGAAUGGCGUAACGAUCUCCACACUGUCUCGGCCAGAGACUCGGUGAAAUUGCAGUCGCGGUGAAAAUUCCGUGUACCCGCAGAAAGACGGAAAGACCCUGUGCACCUUUACUAUAGCUUGACAUUGGAUUUUGGGCCUGCAUGUGUAGGAUAGGUGGGAGGCUGUGAACCCUGUACGCCAGUAUGGGGGGAGCCAUCCUUGAAAUACCACCCUUGCAUGUUUAAGAUCCUAACUUCUUCCGGUUAUCCCGGAGAAAGACAGUGUCUGGCGGGUAGUUUGACUGGGGCGGUCGCCUCCUAAAGUGUAACGGAGGCAUGCAAAGGUUCCCUCAGCCUGAUCGGAAACCAGGCGCUGAGUGCAAACGCAUAAGGGAGCUUGACUGUAAGAGAGACAUCUCGAACAGGAACGAAAGUUGGCGUUAGUGAUCCGGUGGUCCCGAAUGGAAGGGCCAUCGCUCAUUGGAUAAAAGGUACGCCGGGGAUAACAGGCUGAUCGCAUCCAAGAGUUCACAUCGACGAUGCGGUUUGGCACCUCGAUGUCGGCUCAUCACAUCCUGGGGCUGAAGCAGGUCCCAAGGGUACGGCUGUUCGCCGUUUAAAGUGGUACGCGAGCUGGGUUUAAAACGUCGUGAGACAGUUUGGUCCCUAUCUUCUGUGGGCGAAGGAGAAUUGAGAGGGCCUGUCCCUAGUACGAGAGGACCGGGAUGGACGCACCCCUGGUGAUCCUGUUGUCGCGCCAGCGGCAUAGCAGGGUAGCUAUGUGCGGAAGGGAUAACCGCUGAAAGCAUCUAAGCGGGAAGCCUGCCUCAAGAUAAGUUCUCCCCUCGAAAGAGCUGAAGGGCCCGGGUAGACUACCCGGUCGAUAGGCUGGAGGUGUAAGCGCGGCGACGUGCUCAGCUGACCAGUACUAAUAGCCCGAGUGGCUUAUUUUU